UUUGCCUUGAUAAAAAUUCAAUAUAAUGGUUUUUCGCGUACUAAACCUGAUUUAGUUUAUUAAUCAAUUAAAAACAACACGUGUUUCCUUUCUGUAAUUGAUAAUAAAUUUAAAAAAACAAUUUCGUUGAAGUCAUUUAAUUUAAUUUCUCAUUUGAAUUCAAUCGCUCGGUUGAAACACUUUCCUUAAUUGUAAUGAUAUGUUUUACCAUUACUGAUAUUAUUAUGUAGUGUGGAUAGUUUAAUUGUUAUAAAUUGUUCUUUCUCUUUUUUGCUAUUCCGUUUCAUUAAAUAUGCUUCGAGAUAAAUGUCUUAUUAAGGCGUGCCUUCAAAAUUAAUAAUUAAAGUUUAACUAUUAAAACUUGAUAACAACAGUUUCUCGAAAUAAUACAUUUCAGUACAGAGGAGGCAUAUUUGAAAAUAAAACAUGUUUGAAAUUGUUUUGCAAGAUACAAAAGUGGCAAAAUCAUGAACCAUAUGAGAAAAAUCGUAAAUAGUAUAUUGCACUGACCCCUUACCAGUAUUUAAAACAUAUUAAAUAAUAGCUACCAUAAAUUAACGAGCAAUCUUCUUCAUAAUAAUGUGUGAAUAAUAUUUUUGUUGUAUUGUAUAAUGACCACAAAUUAAUUAUGCUUGUGUUUGAUAUGUAUUUUUAAUGAAAAGUAUUAUUGUAUGGAGACGCAUGGUCGCCAUUGUCAAUAAAAAAUAAAACGCCGGCAAAGAAAUACCCUUUUCAUGAAUCAACCAGCGUUUCAACACGAUACAAACGACAAUCAUAAUUAUUUGCGUCGUCAUCGGUCGAAUGCUGUUCAUCUACUUCCACAAGCAGCAGCGCGUGCUUGACGCCAUCCGUUCCGUUCGCUGUCUGGCGAGCGACUGAGCUGCCGCCGUCGAAUGUAACGCGACGCGCGCGCGGUGUUGGCCGGCGGGGAAGGAUCAAAAGCGUGCCGCUGCUACAGCUCGCUCCCCAAAACAAAAACAAAUAAUACACAAACGACGAACCGGGCAAACGUAAUUGCCACCAAUCGUGUGUCACCAAUAGUCAGCGCCGUCUUCCAUCUUUGAAAACCACACGUCCGAGGCACGUUUGUGCGCAUGUCGUUCAUUUCAGACACGCCGAAGAGGAAUGGGGGGUAUGUUUGCUUAUCCCAACACUCCAGCCCACCCAACGCCCGCCCCGAGGACGGAUUGACGCGGAUUCCAUGGAUCAUCAGCCGGAAGUCACCAUAUCGAUGGCCGCAACGACUCUGGCCACAGCGAACGCGCUGCUUUAUUUUUUCUCUCACUCACGCGCCAUUUUUCUCACUUUCUUGCUCUCUCUAUCUCUCUUUCCUGCCCCCGCGGUAUGGUGGUUCACUCCUUUCGAUGAUCUUUUUACCACUUUUUUGGGUGGUUGUGUCGGUGAGUGCGUACGUGCAUCUAUAUACAUACAUCAACACUUCGCAACGGAGGUGCUACCCUCCAGCAAACGGUGCUCUCGGCUCGUGGGAAACUUCUAGUCCGAUUAAAUAGCUGAAAAAAUAACAUCACUUUGCGGAGCGUCGAAGGGCUGGGUGCUGUGUCCGUUACCGACGAUCGUGUUUGUGUAUCAAGAAGCAAUCAGUGUUCUACAAGCCACCCCUGUCCUACGACCAAACUCCGUCCCUGCACCUACCGCUUGCUUCUUCAAUAUGUGUUAUGUGCUACUAGUCAGAUAUAAAAAAAAAACUCAACACAACACAAACAAGCCUCUGCACGCUCAUGUUCUUCCAUCUCUAUCAAUUUACAUGUCACUUCUACCGCUAUCUACACCCCCUCUGCCUCUCUGCCACUCAAUUGGUUAAGUGAAUCUGAGUGGAAAAAAAGAAACCGAACAGCAAAAAACACACAUCCGUGAAACCAGAUGAACCGCGAACUCACACCCCGCCAAAACAAAAGUUGAACUCAAUCACUUUACGUUUGAGCACAUUUCGCACGAGAGUGUCGCGUGAAACACAUAGGGCCCCCACGUAAACACACAACCCACCAUCGUCCUCCGCCCCGUCCCCAUCGUCAUGGUAGUGUGCCAGGCGGCUAUUGCUCCUUUUGCAAGCUAUCCAAAAUAAACGCCGCCAUUACUUGUGGAAGAAGGGACGAUUUAUGUGCACAACACACACACAACGAAACGAACCGCACACACUGACACACGGUGGAAUAUUUACAAGCGUGAGAUUCGAUUCUCCUCCGAAAGAAAGAGCUUCCCCUUUCCGGUUGCUGCUUCGGCGGCGCUACUUUACCGUAUUAGUGAGAGCUACCAUGCGUCUCCAUCGGCGUGUGGCGGAGAAGCAUCAUUUUCCCCACCAACAGAGUUGGCAGCUGCGCGUUAAGAUGCACACACUGUGCAUGCCGUCGUUGCGUCGUUGUUCACUGCCGUUUAUCGGUACGUGCCGAGGAGUGAAUUUGUAAAUCGUUUGGCGAGAGACGAGCGACUAAAGAGAUUCCCCCACCUGCUGGUGGUGGUGGCGGUGCUGUGACGAAGUGAUUCGAGCCGAUUUAUCACUCAAUUUCGCUUUGAGAAACUACCACCACCACCAUCGUACUCCUUCCUGUCCUUCUGCUUGUACAGUUUCUCGCUCGCUCACGAGGAAGCCGAGCGUGUGCUUUCCUCCUUUUCUCGCUUUCCGACGAGCGACGAACACCCAUUAGUGGCACUUUAGCGUAACGACAUAGCAGCAGCAGCAGCGGGGAAACCGAAACACCAUUUACAAAUAUUUCUGUGUAUUGUGGUAUUUUGAUAUGGCCGUCCCCCCCGCUCUUAGCAUUGCACGAUAAGGAAGGAAAGAAAAAAACGAAAGAAAGAUAACUACGGGGAACGGUAAGUGAAUAAACGCAAUAAUGUCGGAAACUUCAACGCGAAGGCAAUAGUAGGGGAAUUGUACCCUCUUUUCUGUGGAUUCACUAUCGUCAAAUAGCGAUAUUUAAAUUCAUAGCCAUACCGACGGAAAAUAGGCUCUUUAGGUAUGUGAAAAAAAUGAAAUAAUACUUGGGUGAAACCGAAAAAAACCGAAAAAAAGGAAAAUUGUAUCGAUUUUUCUCAAUUCACCGACAACAUUUCAAUCUCCAAUCAAACGCUUGAAGAUACGAAUUAAGUUCAAUAAGAAAAUACCUUUUGAAGUGAAUAUUAUACGAACCAGAAAGAGCUAAAGACCUUUAUCAAUUUGUAUAAAGUUACUGGAGUUAGUGGGCAUUAUAAAUUAUAACGUAAUGGAGGCCACUUAACGCAUCCGAUAGGAAAACAUAUUUUAUUACUGUAUUUAUUUAAUUGAUUACUUAUUCCUAACAUAAACGAAAAAUCUAAAACGCAAUUGGUAAACGAUACACUUCUUCUAAAUCACAACUUCGAUUUCGCUACCAAAGAUGGCAACAACACCAAUUAAUUAUCGCUCAAUCACUACCCCCCGGACGACCAACAAAGUAAAUGACACCUAAAAAGACACGCUUAAUAAAAGUUAGCAACGCAACAGAGAAACGAGAACGAGAUGAAAUGAGUGCUUGCCUCAUUAUACCCGCGUGUCACCGACCACCUCCUAUCCAGGCUCAUCCGUUCAGCUAAGCUAACAAAUUCUGCUUCCCAUUCACCCAGCACCGGCUCCCCGCCAAAUUGCCCCGGGACGCGACACACUACGACGCCGGGCAGAAAAGAUUUAUCUGCGCUCCACUUAAAAUGAACAUACCAGUUAUCGUUUCCCGGGCAGGAGGCGGGUGAGUGAGAAGCAAUGCAAAGGGAGGAAAAACGAACAGGGAAGGAAAAGGACCACACACCACACCAAACCACCAAUCUGCUAAGGCCGACUCAGUGCACACGACCACCGUAUGGCACACCACACCGGUAUUAUGUUACUCAAUUUUCUCCACCCUCCGGAAUGGCCUCCCACCCUGCCCCGUCCGUUCGAUCCUCCCAUUGGGGGAGGAAAAACGCUCCAUUAACCACUUGUUAGUCACACUUCUAUCGAAAUGGCAUUCCAGCUUUCACACACUCUCUUUUACAUUCUCUCUCUCUAUCUCUCUCUUUUCAUCCCACCAAACGGUGCUCAUCUUCGUCUUCCAGCACCUGUCGGCGGCCAUCUUGGUUUAUUUUUCCCCUGACUGUGGUCCUCAGCUUCGCCGCCUCAUCCUCCCUCCUUCUCCCCUCACCCCGGCCACCCCAGGGGUUGUUCGUUCCGGGCGUCGCUUAUUUGCUGCACACUCUCUGUCUUGUACGCGGGCUCAAUUUUCACCUCGCCCGUUUGGUACUUGUGGCGGCACUCUUCAACUGUAUGCUCUCCGCUGCCUAAGAACGGACGCUGUUUAGAGGAACACAAGUUUUCUAGUGCGCUGCUGCGUUGCUUCAACUGCUGACGUGAUUUUCAUUUCACCGAAACGACCUUGCUAUUUGCGGUGAACGCGUUCAAUACAAGCGCUGCUGUUUAUCUUAGUUGUUUAAAAAUUCAUUUGAACAUUUCCACCACAAGCUUGACAUGAUUGCCGCCAGCAUAAUGAUGAGUCGUAUCUUGACGGAAGAGGAGCUCGGUCCAAAGCGUUACGACGAGCGCAAAAAGGAAACCAACAAGAAGAUGGCGAACUCGCAGCUGCAGCAAGUGGAAAAAGGGAGUAAAGUGAAGGAAUCGAAAAAAUGCUCCACAGCAUCGGGAGAAAGCCGAACUAAGUGAACGAUUUGUUUGUUCUUUUUAUGUUGUAAACAAUUCCAUCAAGUGCCAUUGCAAUAAAACAUCUAUUUACAAGUGUGUAA